rnacentral:rRNA from 1 species
UGGGGAAUUUUCCGCAAUGGGCGAAAGCCUGACGGAGCAACGCCGCGUGAGGGAGGAAGGCUUUUGGGUUGUAAACCUCUUUUCUCAAGGAAGAUUUCAGACGGUACUUGAGGAAUCAGCAUCGGCUAACUCCGUGCCAGCAGCCGCGGUAAUACGGAGGAUGCAAGCGUUAUCCGGAAUAAUUGGGCGUAAAGCGUUCGUAGGUGGUUUUGUAAGUCUGCUGUUAAAGCGUGUAGCUUAACUACAUAUAGGCGGUGGAAACUACAAAACUAGAGUGCGUUCGGGGCAGAGGGAAUUCCUAGUGUAGCGGUGAAAUGCGUAGAGAUUAGGAAGAACACCGGUGGCGAAAGCGCUCUGCUAGGCCGCAACUGACACUGAGGGACGAAAGCUAGGGGAGCGAAUGGGAUUAGAUACCCCCGUAGUCC